rnacentral:rRNA from 1 species
GAUGAACGCUGGCGGCGUGCUUAACACAUGCAAGUCGAACGAAGCAUUUGCGACAGAUUUUUUCGGAAUGAAGUUGCUUAUGACUGAGUGGCGGACGGGUGAGUAACGCGUGGGUAACCUGCCUUGUACUGGGGGAUAGCAGCUGGAAACGGCUGGUAAUACCGCAUAAGCGCACAAUGUUGCAUGACAUGGUGUGAAAAACUCCGGUGGUAUAAGAUGGCCCGCGUCUGAUUAGCUAGUUGGUGAGAUAACAGCCCACCAAGGCGACGAUCAGUAGCCGACCUGAGAGGGUGACCGGCCACAUUGGGACUGAGACACGGCCCAGACUCCUACGGGAGGCAGCAGUGGGGAAUAUUGCACAAUGGAGGAAACUCUGAUGCAGCGACGCCGCGUGAGUGAAGAAGUAAUUCGUUAUGUAAAGCCCUAUCAGCAGGGAAGAUAGUGACGGUACCUGACUAAGAAGCUCCGGCUAAAUACGUG